UACGAACCGUCCGAACGUUAUUCGGAAUUACUGGGCUUAAAGGGUGCGUAGGCGGCGCGGAAAGUAGGGUGUGAAAUCCCUCGGCUCAACCGAGGAACUGCGUCCUAAACUACCGUGCUCGAGGGAGAUAGAGGUGAGCGGAACUUAGGGUGGAGCGGUGAAAUGCGUUGAUAUCCUAAGGAACACCGGUGGCGAAAGCGGCUCACUGGAUCUCUUCUGACGCUGAGGCACGAAAGCUAGGGUAGCGAACGGG
rnacentral:rRNA from 1 species